rnacentral:rRNA from 1 species
UUCGGGGUACACGAGCGGCGAACGGGUGAGUAACACGUGGGUGAUCUGCCCUGCACUUCGGGAUAAGCCUGGGAAACUGGGUCUAAUACCGGAUAUGACCUUCGGNUGCAUGGCUGAGGGUGGAAAGNUUUANUGGUGCAGGAUGGGCCCGCGGCCUAUCAGCUUGUUGGUGGGGUAAUGGCCUACCAAGGCGACGACGGGUAGCCGACCUGAGAGGGUGACCGGCCACACUGGGACUGAGACACGGCCCAGACUCCUACGGGAGGCAGCAGUGGGGAAUAUUGCACAAUGGGCGAAAGCCUGAUGCAGCGACGCCGCGUGAGGGAUGACGGCCUUCGGGUUGUAAACCUCUUUCAGCAGGGACGAAGCGAAAGUGACGGUACCUGCAGAAGAAGCACCGGCUAACUACGUGCCAGCAGCCGCGGUAAUACGUAGGGUGCAAGCGUUGUCCGGAAUUACUGGGCGUAAAGAGUUCGUAGGCGGUUUGUCGCGUCGUUUGUGAAAACUCNNAGCUCAACUNCUAGCUUGCAGGCGAUACGGGCAGACUUGAGUACUGCAGGGGAGACUGGAAUUCCUGGUGUAGCGGUGAAAUGCGCAGAUAUCAGGAGGAACACCGGUGGCGAAGGCGGGUCUCUGGGCAGUAACUGACGCUGAGGAACGAAAGCGUGGGUAGCGAACAGGAUUAGAUACCCUGGUAGUCCACGCCGUAAACGGUGGGCGCUAGGUGUGGGUUCCUU